rnacentral:lncRNA from 1 species
CUAAUUUUAUAAGACUUGAGAAAAUAAUAAAGUUUUGCUUUUAAAUGCAAAAACAGAAUUAAACAUGCAAAUGCAACGAAUCAAUGGUUGAGGAAAAACUAUGGAUGAAUGGUGUUGUUGGGGUUUACAAUUUCAUCUUAUCCACUCUCAUAUAUCUACUCUUCUUAUUUAACUCACUUGUUUAUCUAAUUGCAUGCAAACUUUCUUGGUCUACCUUUAACCCAAUCCCUUGGUGAAAAGAGCCUACUAUUAAUUACCGGCUUGCUAUCCCUAGCCUCCCCUAGUAACAAAUAAUGCAUAGUGAACGGAAGCAAAAUACAAUUGAUCUCCCUACCCCUAUCCCUAGGUGGUAUUAGCAUAAUCAAGGAAUUUUCCACCAAUUCAUGACAUUACCAUAUGAUAAAUGACUCUUACUGAAUGAGUUAAACAAUAAAAGCAUUAAGCAUAGAUGAGAACCCAACAAUUGAUAAACAAGUAUAUGACAAGCAUAUGAAAUAAAUAAGAAUUUGGAAAAAUGAGAGUUUCAAAAGAUUACAUUGUUCCCCAACAACAAAGGGUUUAGUUCACCAUAAUCAUGGUGAACUAGAUGAAUUGAAUGGAAAGAAUGAAAAGAUAAACCCUAGAUUUGGUAGAUUGAAGCUCCUACAUCCAAAAUUCUCCUCCAAGGGUUGAAAAGAGUGUUGUGUCAUCUUCCUCUGCCAAAGAUUAGGGUUUCAAGUCGCACUAGGGCUAUUUAUAAGCCAAAAAGAUAAGGUUAAAUAUAUGUUUUAGUCCUUAUAUUUGUUCCCCAUUCUCAAUUAGGUCCUCAUGUUUUUUUUUGUCCCAAUUGCAUCCUAAUAUUUGUAAAUUUGAGACAAUUAAGCCCCCUCCGUUAACUAGAACUAACAUCGUAGGCCAAUUAAGAGGGCUUAAUUGUCUCAAAUUUACAAAUAUUAGAAUGCAAUUGGGACAAAAAAAAACAGAGAGGGCUUAAUUGUCUCAAAUUACAAAUAUUAGGAUGCCAUUGGGACAAAAAAAAACAUGAGGACCUAAUUGAAAUGAGGAACAAAUAUGAGGACUAAAACAUAUAUUUAACCAAAAGAUAAUAGAAAGAUUACAGAAUCCGCAAUAUAAAAACUGACAACCGCUCAGCCCCUAAUUUGACCGCUCAGCGGUUUCCCCCUAAUCGCAGGACUGCUCAGCGCCCAAAACUGCCGCUCAGCGCCAAAAACUAACCGCUCAGCGCCCUAGUCAACCACUCAGCGCUCUGGUCAACUUUUCUGGUUGACUAGUUGACUUUUCUGGUUGAUUGGUUGACUAGUUGACUUUUCUGGAUUCUGGUUGACUUUUCAGCACUCCAACCAUUUAAUACUUCAACCUUUCUUUCAAUUCAUUCCAAAAACCUACAAAAUCAAGGGAAACAUAGCAUAAAACCAAGAAAACCAACUUUGACUCUCUUAUUCUCUAACUUAACAAAAAUGCAAGAUUUCAAGCUAAUUCUAAGUCAUAAAGGGUGUGAUUUAAUAUCAAAAUCAAGUAUGAAAAUAACUGUUUUUCAACCGUUAUCACAACUCCAAACUUAGAAUUUUUCUUGUCCUCAAGCAAAAUAAAAGGUAACUUAGUUUUCAAACAAUCAAUACAAUGGAUUAAUACUCCCCAAAACUUUUUCUUCCAAGACAAGUAAUCACUCUCAGCUCAUCAUAAAAAUAUCAGUCAAGAUGUAAGAUGCAUUACUUCCAUUAAGCUCAAUAUGGUGGUCACAUAAUCACAGCCUUUCCAACAAAUGCUAUUAUCAUGAAUGACCAAUUAACCAAGCACAAAUGCAACAUGUAUAAUUGGAACUACUCCUCACCAAGGACAGUGUUUCACUCAAGCAUACAAGUGUAUAUUGAGGUGACUCAUUCUCUCUACUGUCACAAUGUCACGCAAACUAACUUUGCCUUUCAUUUAACCACAAUCAAUCAUACUCACAAACAAGUUAUCAUCACAAGGACUUUUUACGGCUUGUAACGUGGUUGGGCUAAGAAGAACAUUGGUUUUUCUGGAUCACAAAAUCCUUGAGUUAAGAGAGUUAUUUACAUUUAUAAUUUAAGCACAAACUCUCUUUAAACAACCAAUCUCACUCAUUCCCAACUUUCCCUUUUCUUUGCAUUGAGCUUUUCUUCUCAUUUUAUCUUCUUUUUUUUAUCUUUUCUAUAUUUUUCAUUUUUUUAUGUUUUGCUCAACACAUUAGUUCAAUGCUUAUCUUUUUCUUUCUCAACUUUCCCAACAGCCUCAAACUUGAACCUUUAUCAAUACCACACAAUAAUUCUCAACUUAACUCAAGGUAAAGAUUUUCAAAAGGGUUUUCACAUACUGUUUAAGGCUUAGGUUCAAAAAGGGUAGAACACGUUGUGCUCUUUUUAAUUAGGACGAAACUUUUUGCAUUGACUAAGAAAGGGCUAAAUAAAGAUGGCCUUGAUCGUAUGACACAUGCAAGCAAGUGAUUUAAUCAUAGAAACCUGGGCAAAUUCAUAUAUGCUUUCAAAGUAAUAGCAAUCAUUCAAUCAAAAACACUGGAGUCCAAUACAUAGAUACACAUCCUGCUCAAUAUCACAAUCACAAUCAUGUUAUCAUGCAUUUGUUCACACAUAUUGUGAACCACCAAUUGUAUAUAGCAUCUCAUAUAUCAUCUCGACAUCAAUUAAUAUAAAAGCCUCAUCAAGCAUACUCAUCACAAAUCAUCAUCAACCCAUUGCAUCAGAUAUAAGUUUUAAACCAAGUACAUCAACACCUAUUCUAAAAACAGAAGCAAAUAUAACAUAAUUUAAAAAGAUAAGUUUAGAAAACUGGGUUGCCUCCCAGGUAGCGCUUGUUUAAUGUCACAAGCCUGACCCAAACCUUUCUAGCACUUGUGAGUAAGUGCGUACCUUUCCAACACCCUUCAGUAGGUGUGCUUCCCUAUAUCCUUCAGUAGAUACCUAAAUCUUCUAGCAUCCCUCAGUAGAUGCUAUCCCAGUAGCAUUCAUUAGUAUAUGUUGACAAUAACAUCCAUCAGUAGAUGUCUAUUCACCAUCCUCUUUCAUAACAACAUCCAUCAGUAGAUGUUGUAGAAGCAUCCAUCAGUAGAUGUUAUCAUCACUGCCAUCAGAAGCACCAUAUAACCUAAAAAAACUUAAACACACAAAGAAAAAUCAAAUCCAAAUCACACAAAUAAUUAAAAAGAAAAAGUUAGAAACUAGGUGGCCUCCCAGCAAACGCUCUUUUAAAGUCAUUAGCUUGACCCGGUAAAGCCCAAACACCCAUCAGUAGGUGUUGAUAUUCUGUGUUGGCGUUCUUCCUUCCUUCAUGACACCAACAAAGUUGUGGAAAUUUCCUUGUCACCAACUCUAAAGAUUCUCAAUCUCAAGAGCGCGCUCUGUUUGCUUUGAUAGUCUUGACAACCCAUAACCUAUUCUAAGAUUUCAUUGGUGUGCCAAGUUUGGGCUUGUCACUUUUCACAUUAGGGUGUUGGUGAACCAAUUCUCCUUCCUUAUCUGCCUCCUGAUGAUCUUGUGCUCCUAGUACAAAUUUUAUCCUGCACAUACAAAAGAACACUACACUAGAACACAGAAUUAACCCAAAAACAAAAAUCAGUAAAAGAUAGGUUAAAUAUAUGUUUUAGUCCUCAUAUUUGUUCUUCAUUCUCAAUUAGGUCCUCAUGUUUUUUUUUGUCCCAAUUGCAUCCUAAUAUUUCUAAAUUUGAAGGAUUAAGCCCUCUCCGUUUUGUUUUGUCUCAAUUGCAUCCUAAUAUUUGUAAAUUUGAGGCAAUUAAGCCAUCUCAAUUGGCCUACGACGUUAGUGGCCAGUUAACGAAAAGGGCUUAAUUGCCUCAAAUUUACAAAUAUUAGGAUGCAAUUGGGACAAAAAAAACAUGAGGACCUAAUUGAGAAUGAGAAACAAACAUGAGGACUAAAACAUAUAUUUAACCUAAAAGAUAUAUUUUUUUUUCUUAAAAAAAAAAAUAAAACAGUAAAAGAUAUUUUUUUUUUAAUUUUUGUUUUUUUUAUAAAAACAGAAAAAUAAAAAAUAAAGAAUAAAAACAGAAAAAGAUAUUUUUGUUUUUUUUUACUUUUUUAGAAAGAUAAAGAUAGAAAAAUAAAAAUAGAAAGAUAAAAACAGAAAAAGAUAUAUUAUUAUUUACUUUUAUUUUAUUUUUUAUUUUAUUUUAUUUUAUUAUUUUUUUUCAAAAAAAAUAAAAAACUAAAAGAUUUUUUUUUUUAAUUUUUUUUUCAAAAUAAAGAUUGAAAAAUAAAAACAGAAAGAUAUAAACAGAAAAAAUAAAAACAAAAAGAUAAAAACAGAAAAAUAAAAACACCCCUCAGUAGGUGUUGAUUCUCUUUGCUUGAUAUUCUUUUCUUUUUCUUCUUUCUACUGACUUUCUUCAAAAAAUUAAGAACACCAAACUCUUGUUUCCAUGUUUCAAUCAUAGGAACUUUGAUCUCCAAUCUCUUGAACAUAAAUUUCUUUUCUUUCCUAUGAUAUUUCUUUCGAUGAGGAAGGGGUUUUGCAUAUGAUAUUUUCUUCUUUCCUCUCUUCCUCUUUUUCUUAAUCUCCUCCCUCAACUUUCUCUUUUUCUCUUUUCUUCUUUUCUUCUUUAUUUUUGCAUAUUUUUUCUUUUUUUCUCAACCAUUGCUUUUUUUUCCUCACUCAACCUUUUCUCCUUUAUCUUUACCUCUUUUAUUUCUAUCAUUUCCUCAUCAACAACCUUCUCUAUUUUUAUCUCUUUUCUAUUUUCUUCCUAUAUUUUCUCAUCAUUUCAUUCUAUCUUCUCCUCCUUUCUCUUUUCCUCAUAUAUCUCUAUCUCUUCUUCCUCUAUCUUUUCUUCCUCAAUAACCUUAUCAUUUUCAAAGAUAGUGGCUUGACAUUCAUCUUUAGGAUUAACUUCAGUAUUAACCCUAAUAAUACCAAGAGACUUCAACAUGCAAGAGAAUUGUUCCUGCCGUAAACGUUCUUCAGCUUCCCCCAAUGUUUCUCUUCGUACAAAAGAUUGUUUUUCAUGUAAACGUUGUUCGGCCUCCCCCAACGUUUCUUUCUAAAAAGAGAAUUGUUUCUUUUGUAAGCGUUGUUCAGCUUCCCCUAACGUUUCUCUCGGCAAAGAGGAUUGUUGCCCAAAUUGGCUUUGAUACAUAUUUGAAUGAGGUUCCCACCAGUGGUUGAAAUCAUUUUGGUAAAAUUGAGUGCCCAUAUAAUCAACUUCUUGUUCAAACUACAUCCUGCAAACAUUAGGCACAAAAUCCUAUAAAACAUUUAUUAGAACAAAAAUAAAAAUAAACAUAAAAUCAAGUCAAAGUUAAUCAGUUUACACUACUAGAUAAGUUAAACCACGAGUCCUCAGCAACGGUGCCAAAAACUUGUUAAGCCCCUGGGAAGUGUACCAGAUCGUUAUCAAGUAAUAUAAACGGGUAGAUCCAAGUAUCGUUCUCCCAAAGGACUCUUAGGCCUUAACUUUUGUGUAACCUAAUUUUAUAAGACUUGAGAAAAAAAAUAAAGUUUUGGUUUUUAAAUGCAAAAACAGAAUUAAACAUGCAAAUGCAACGAAUGAAUGGUUGAGGAAAAACUAUGGAUGAAUGGUGUUGUUGGGGUUUACAGUUUCAUCUUAUCCACUCUCAUAUAUCUACUCUUCUUAUUUAAUUCACUUGUUUAUCUAAUUACAUGCAAACUUUCUUGGUUUACCCUUAACCCAAUCCCUUGGUGAAAAGAGCCUACUAUUAAUUACCGGCUUACUAUCCCUAGCCUCCCCUAGUAACUAAUAAUGCAUAGAAAACGGAAGCAAAAUACAAUUGAUCUCCCUA